rnacentral:rRNA from 1 species
GUAGGUGGCAAGCGUUGUCCGGAAUUAUUGGGCGUAAAGCGCGCGCAGGCGGUCCUUUAAGUCUGAUGUGAAAGCCCACGGCUCAACCGUGGAGGGUCAUUGGAAACUGGGGGACUUGAGUACAGAAGAGGAAAGCGGAAUUCCAAGUGUAGCGGUGAAAUGCGUAGAGAUUUGGAGGAACACCAGUGGCGAAGGCGGCUUUCUGGUCUGUAACUGACGCUGAGGCGCGAAAGCGUGGGGAGCAAACAGGAUUAGAUACCCUGGUAGUCCACGCUGUAAACGAUGAGUGCUAAGUGUUAGGGGGUUUCCCGCCCCUUAGUGCUGCAGCUAACGCAUUAAGCACUCCGCCUGGGGAGUACGGCCGCAAGGCUG